rnacentral:sRNA from 1 species
CUUUAGCCCCGAUAGCAGUGAAAAUCCUUUUUAUUUUUCCUUUAAAAAUAAAAAGAUUGAAACGGAUAGCGGGACCAAUG